rnacentral:lncRNA from 1 species
GGCAAUCUUUAAUUAAUUUCCAUGUGCAAUUCUUUAUGCUUCAAAGUAAGAUGAGUUAUAUUGGCAUAGCACCUCUUCAUGCUUCAUACUGAUCGGGCUUCCAAAUAUAUACUUCGCCAGGUUUCUAUUUUUUUGUGUUCUAUUGUUCUUCUUUUGAACACCAUUUUGAUCAAAAUACAAACAGUGUAUGAUGUGACAGACCAAUUUGUUGCUUCAUGUAAGCCAUGUUUUAUACUUUUGUGCCACAUUUGUUUCCAAUGGUAUUGAAUUUUUCUCUUCGUCUCAAUUGUAUAUGCUUCCAUUGCCUAUCACAUAUGUUUUGAUCAUUGAAACAGCUGGUCCAUCUAAGCUAUGGUUCCUACUUUAACAUUUCACAUAUGUUUGUAUAGCAAUGCUUUUCUUUCAUCCCAGUUUUCUGUGCUUCCAGUACCUAUCAUAUAUAUUCUGAUAGAUUAAUUUGUUGCUUCGUGUAAUCCAUGCUUAUUUCAUUUCUUGUGUUUCCAAUAUGUAUUAUUUAUGUUUUGAUACUCUUAAUUUCUCAUUGUGCUUCUAUUUUAUAGAUGUUUUGCGCCAAACGACGACAACCAUGCAUCCUUAGUUUCUCAGAUGCCUUGCACUGACGUCUCCCCACAAUGUCGUUGUGGUGUGUCGACAUGUUGUGGUUAAUAGCUGGCGACAACAUCCCCGUUGCUUGCUGCCAUCAUGCCAAUUUUCCUUCGGCAAUAUUUCGCCUAAGUGUUCCCUAUUAUGCUAGUGCAACCCAAGACAUUACCCCCCCGUUUCAAAAAAACCCAAGACAUUACCCUUGCUUCCCAGCAGACUUCGGUGUUGACCAUGUAAUUUUUUUUGUUAUAAUGUAAAUAAUUUUUGUUGUUGUAACUAUAUUAAGCUUUUGUUGCAUGGGAGCAAAUUCCUUUCUCUUCCAUAGCAAACUUUCAUGGGUUGGAAGCAAUGUACAAUCAAAUUCAUGUUUCAGCGGAAAUAAAUGUAUAUGUUAUCAUUAGAAGCAAAAUCGCGUUGCA